CUCGGCGGAUCAGCCCGUUCCUCACGGAACGGCCCGCCGCAGGACCCCUAAACUCUGUUUUUAGUGGAACUUCUGAGUAAAAAAACAAAUAAAUCAAAACUUUCAACAACGGAUCUCUUGGUUCUGGCAUCGAUGAAGAACGCAGCAAAAUGCGAUAAGUAAUGUGAAUUGCAGAAUUCAGUGAAUCAUCGAAUCUUUGAACGCACAUUGCGCCCGCCAGUAUUCUGGCGGGCAUGCCUGUUCGAGCGUCAUUUCAACCCUCAAGCCCAGCUUGGUGUUGGGAGCUGUUUUAGUUAACACUCCCCAAAUUGAUUGGCGGUCACGUCGAGCU
rnacentral:rRNA from 1 species